UUGCUACUGAUCUUAGCGGCGGACGGGUGAGUAAUGCUUAGGAAUCUGCCUAUUAGUGGGGGACAACAUUUCGAAAGGAAUGCUAAUACCGCAUACGUCCUACGGGAGAAAGCAGGGGAUCUUCGGACCUUGCGCUAAUAGAUGAGCCUAAGUCGGAUUAGCUAGUUGGUGGGGUAAAGGCCUACCAAGGCGACGAUCUGUAGCGGGUCUGAGAGGAUGAUCCGCCACACUGGGACUGAGACACGGCCCAGACUCCUACGGGAGGCAGCAGUGGGGAAUAUUGGACAAUGGGCGCAAGCCUGAUCCAGCCAUGCCGCGUGUGUGAAGAAGGCCUUAUGGUUGUAAAGCACUUUAAGCGAGGAGGAGGCUACUUUAGUUAAUACCUAGAGAUAGUGGACGUUACUCGCAGAAUAAACACCGGCUAACUCUGUGGCAACAGCCGCGGUAAUACAGAGGGUGCAAGCGUUAAUCCGAUUUACUGGGGGUAAAA
rnacentral:rRNA from 1 species